AAGAUCUUAAGGAAAGUAUUUUAAUGUUAAUAUCUGAAUAAACUCCAUCACUCCAUCCUUUAUCUCUGUUUUUUCAGUACUAUUGGCCAUAUUAUAUAAUUUUUUAGGAUUACUUAAUAAGUCGACUAAUAAUUUCGUUAGAUUUUCUUUUGUUUGACUAUUCUGUUCAACUAUUACUGCUGCAUUCGAGGUUUCAAUAUGCUUUGCGUUAUAAAAUU